GAGACACCAGACCAGAGAAAACAUCUCAGCCAUCGAUCGAUAGAUAGAUAGAUAGAUAGAUAGAUAGAUAGAUAGAUAGAUAGAUAGAUAGAUAGAUAGAUAAACUAUCCAAAAGUGACACUAUAGAUUGGACAUUGCUGGCUAUUACUGUCACUCUUGAAAUUUCUGUUUCUGCAGCCAUAGGCCUACAAGGAAUCCCACUCUAAAACAUUUGGUGGCUAUCAUCAAAGACUAUAGAAAUACUAUCAUGCUCGGAGAAGCUUUCCUUCAUGUUCUGAACUGCACAGAAGACAUCACAAAUCAUGAUGGACGUGCUCACACACACUUACCCACCCCCACGACCCGUCCUGACCCCUGCACAAUGAAUGCCGCUGCCAGAUCUCCUCUGACACCACGAACUGUGAGAGCUGGCAGGCCCGAAUGCCUGGAAAAGCAAGGGCAGUACCGAGCCUCUGCACCCAGCAACGCUAUGCCCAUUCUCAGCUGUAGCGGGGAGGAUCACUUGGGCAUGAUGCUGUAUUGCUCCUGGUGCUGUCCCAGCUUCUGCAAGAACUAUCCAGACCUCCGGCUUGCUGGUGACCGGCUGGAGCACUGCAGUCCUCAUAACCCAGACCUGCUCAACCCAACAGACGCCGGGCCACUGCUACAAUCGCAGGACCUGAGUUCUCUGGAACCCUCUCUGGAAGCAGGUCAACAGGCAGAGGCUUUGACCCAGCAGGACGAGGAGUAUCUUGUCAUGGAAAGCGUUCAGGGUCCUGGCUGGGAGAGAAGGCUCACCAACUCCAUGUUGAACGGCUAUCUAGAAAUCCAAAUGCUGGAGGUGUUUUGUCAGCACAUGCAAAACAUGGCGUGCUGUGGAUCAUCAUUGCUGAGCACUGACGUCAUGCCGGCACUGGUGCCCACCAGCCUGACUGUAGCCAAAAGAAAAACAGCCAGUCAGGGAGAAGAGCUGGAUUCUUCAUCCAAUAAUGUUGUGCAUUAUUUAAGCGCUUGUUCAGCUCCAGCCACCUCCCACUUCAGCUCACCUGUGCUGCGAAUCUCAGAAGCUGACCUCUGCUCUUCCAUUGUAGCCUCCAUCGACAUUAAUAGCACAAGGUACUUUGGAAGAAGAGGAACCAAAGUCACACUGUCAUGUGUAUACCAUGUAUAGAUAGACGUUUAUAAAUGUUACCACUUCCUCCUAAACAGCCAAUCAACUGUUGUUUUUCUCCCUCAGUCCUGCUGCUGACUGCUACACUUUCUCUUUCCUAAAAAAGUGUUUGAAAUGAAAUUGAAACUUUAUUAACUUAUGUCCUUAGUUAUGUUGCCAUAAUUCAGUUAUAUCCAUUCUUUUCAUUAGAUGUUUGUGGUAAUGUUUCUAUAAUGUGAAACUCUUCAAUAAUUGUUAUUAAAUACUGACACCUGCUGUUCAUACUGUGGAAUGACACCCAGACGGAGCGCAAAUGCUGAUAUGUUGCUGGCGCCCUCUACUGGGAGCUUCGGGAACAGCGGCCAAUGUCCCGAUGAAAGAUUAUGUCAUACUGUCCAUGACAUUGUCCUUCACCCAGAGCUGUGAAAAUUCAAUUUUUAUGUAUUACAUCGAUGUUUAUAGCUACAAUACGCGCACUGCAUUCAAUAUGGUGUAUUAAGCAUUGCAUUUUAAUGUAGUAAUGGAUGGAAGAAAUAAAACCUAAAUGCCUUUACUGCCAUGAAUGUGCUGACAUACUGAUCUGACGUCACAUU
ensembl:lncRNA